rnacentral:tRNA from 1 species
GCCAGCCUGGCGUUGUGGUUGGAGCAUCAGACUAUGACUCUGGAGACCAGGGUUCGAAUCUCAGCCACGGAA